AAGGGCACCACAAGAACGCGUGGAGCAUGUGGCUUAAUUUGACUCAACGCGGGAAAUCUUACCGGGUCCGGACACACUGAGGAUUGACAGAUAUACGCUGCGUUGCUGCACCUUCGGGUGUGCACGUGGCUCAAAGAUGCUAGUUCUUUCAUGAUUAUGUGAUAGGUGGUGCAUGGCCGUUCUUAGUUCGUGGAGUGAUCUGUCUGCUUAAUUGCGUAUCAAUAAUAGAGACCUAGUAUACGCGUAUUACUCGUGUGGUAGUGACCCCCUUCUCACGGAGGCGCGUGUCGCACAUACGGUAUACGCACUGGUCUCAGAUAGCAACGAACGUGACCG
rnacentral:rRNA from 1 species